rnacentral:rRNA from 1 species
UACAGAGGGGGCGAGCGUUAUUCGGAAUUAUUGGGCGUAAAGGGCGCGUAGGCGGCCUUUCAAGUGACGGGUGAAAUCCCUCGGCUUAACCGAGGAACUGCCUGUCAGACUGGAAGGCUUGAGACCGGGAGAGGUGAGUGGAAUUCCCAGUGUAGCGGUGAAAUGCGUAGAUAUCUGGAGGAACACCGGUGGCGAAGGCGGCAUCCUGGACCAAUAUUGACGCUGAGGAGCGAAAGCCAGGGGAGCAAACGGG